UUCGAGUAUCAAUCAAUACAUUAUUUCUAUGCCCCACAUUUGAAGAAAACUAUUUAUUUUUAUGUUUGUUUUUAGUGUAAAUGUAUCUCUCUUUUCAAGGAAAAUUCUAAUCUUACACAUUUCCGCUUCUUUCGCUAUAUAUUUGUUUUCGUACUUCUUCUACUUCGUACUUAUAAUGAGAAUGCUCCUCGAGUAGGGAGCGAACCCACGAACUCCCGAUCGCUAGGCGGACACCUAAUCCACUACACCACCGCGAUAGUAUAUACGGAUGCCUACUGUAUAUUUAUUUUUGGCAUAGAUUUUACUUUAUUACACAGUGUACAUAGCUUUAUAAUUAAUUUUCAAUUGUAAACACAAACCUGAAAACUAUCACUCAAUUUCAGAGUGAACAGCAUUUGAUUGUGUAGCCCCACGAUAGACAAAGUUAUAAAGAAAUGGACGGACUUUAAGACGCACAAAAACAACCAUGUGUGAAUAAUGAGAUCUCAUCCAUCACAUCAGUUGAACAAAAGUUGGAAAUCCGCGAAACAGCGCAUGUGAGGCCCAGUCAUUUGAGCGGAUAGUGUUCCACUUCAUUGUUCCCUAGCUGUAGAGUUGUUGGAGAAAACCCUGUAUUGUUAUGUUACAAAGAUAAUUAAAUAAAGGAGUAGAAUUUA